rnacentral:rRNA from 1 species
GGGGAAUAUUGCACAAUGGGCGCAAGCCUGAUGCAGCAACGCCGCGUGAGCGAUGAAGGUCUUCGGAUCGUAAAGCUCUGUCCUUGGGGAAGAAAAAAAUGACGGUACCCUUGGAGGAAGCCCCGGCUAACUACGUGCCAGCAGCCGCGGUAAUACGUAGGGGGCGAGCGUUAUCCGGAAUUAUUGGGCGUAAAGAGUAUGUAGGUGGUCUCUUAAGCGCAGGGUAUAAGGCAAUGGCUCAACCAUUGUUCGCCCUGCGAACUGAGUGACUUGAGUGCAGGAGAGGAAAGCGGAAUUCCUAGUGUAGCGGUGAAAUGCGUAGAUAUUAGGAGGAACACCAGUGGCGAAGGCGGCUUUCUGGACUGUAACUGACACUGAGAUACGAAAGCGUGGGGAGCAAAC